AUUGAACGCUGGCGGCAUGCCUUACACAUGCAAGUCGAACGGUAACAGGUCUUCGGAUGCUGACGAGUGGCGAACGGGUGAGUAAUACAUCGGAACGUGCCCGAUCGUGGGGGAUAACGAGGCGAAAGCUUUGCUAAUACCGCAUACGAUCUACGGAUGAAAGCGGGGGAUCUUCGGACCUCGCGCGGACGGAGCGGCCGAUGGCAGAUUAGGUAGUUGGUGGGAUAAAAGCUUACCAAGCCGACGAUCUGUAGCUGGUCUGAGAGGAUGAUCAGCCACACUGGGACUGAGACACGGCCCAGACUCCUACGGGAGGCAGCAGUGGGGAAUUUUGGACAAUGGGCGAAAGCCUGAUCCAGCCAUGCCGCGUGCAGGAUGAAGGCCUUCGGGUUGUAAACUGCCUUUGUACGGAACGAAAAGCCUCUUCCUAAUAAAGAGGGGUCAUGACGGUACCGUAAGAAUAAGCACCGGCUAACUACGUG
rnacentral:rRNA from 1 species